CCUGUAUGAUGAUAACCGAAUACUGACUAAACAUGAAGUUUCUAAUUAUUAGCUCUAGCUGAUU
rnacentral:snoRNA from 1 species